AACAUUAUUAUAGAACAAUACUCGACGCAGCUGUAGAUAUUUCCCAGACGUAUUUCCGCGAUUUAAGCUUUUAAAUAUUCAUCAAUCUGGUUAAGUCACAGAAAUGUUUAAAAUAUAUACUUUUUAUUUUAUAAAUUACUACAGUGAGUUUCCAACACGUUUAAAUAACUAUUGGAUGACAUAGAUAAAUGUGGUAUAUUUAUAACUCCGGUAAAAAGAUCGUCCC